ACGGGACCGGAGAUGCACGAGGUUAGCUGAACCAAAGUGAGAGACUCGGCUAGUUUUACUGAGGUUAACCAGCACAAAAGAGUGUGUGACUAGAAAGCUGACCGUGUGAGAGCUUCACAACAGAGUGUGGGUGAAGUGACUUUUUGUUUCAACGGUCGCACCACCGUGGAAAACUGUGUUUCCAGCUACGACCGCCGAGGCUAAAGGCUAGCCCGGACUGCUUGGCUUCGCCAAGGAGGCAGCCGCUAUGGACUCGCUGUAGCAGAGACAGCAUCGGGUCCGCAGGGAGUGGAUUUAGUGUGGAACUGGUGCACGGCGACCUACCGAUCAGCUGAACUGUAAGUCAGACUUUUGUGCUCUUACUGGGAGAAGAGGAUUUAACUCCAUCGUCCGGCGUGAGCAACAAACAGGCCUGCAACAAGUGUGAAUGAGAAGACGAGGAAGCGGCUGUCAGAGUGGCGAGACGGGUUGUGGAAACCGAAAGUGAAGUACAACAGAGUAACUGAGGAGGCGGAGCUAGAAAACGUCAUAGGAGGAGUUUCACAAAACAGGUGACGUGUGAGAACCCCAGAGAGAAAGGAGAGGUCCCUGACGCCAAGGCGGUGUGGCUAAAGGUCAUCAAACGCAAGUGGAAGGAACCCAGGUGGACAGGUCCAUACGAGGUGACAGGGCGGACGGCUACCGCGGUCCAGCUGAAAGGGAAAGGCGACACCUGGUUCCAUUGGACGCAGUGUGCGGCAGCAGACGAGAGCCUAGUGGAC
ensembl:lncRNA